rnacentral:rRNA from 1 species
UACAGAGGGGGCAAGCGUUGUUCGGAAUUACUGGGCGUAAAGGGCGCGUAGGCGGCCCGCUAAGUCGAACGUGAAAUCCCCGGGCUCAACCCGGGAACUGCGUCCGAUACUGGCAGGCUUGAAUCCGGGAGAGGGAUGUGGAAUUCCAGGUGUAGCGGUGAAAUGCGUAGAUAUCUGGAGGAACACCGGUGGCGAAGGCGGCAUCCUGGACCGGUAUUGACGCUGAUGCGCGAAAGCCAGGGGGAGCAAACGGG